rnacentral:rRNA from 1 species
AUUGAACGCUGGCGGCAUGCCUAACACAUGCAAGUCGAGCGGCAGCGCGGGGCUCGCCCUUGCGGUGAGUGGCGAACGGGUGAGUAAUGCAUAGGAACGUGCCCAGUAGUGGGGGAUAGCGCGGCGAAAGCCGCGCUAAUACCGCAUACGACCUGAGGGUGAAAGUGGGGGAUCGUAAGACCUCGCGCUAUUGGAGCAGCCUAGGUCGGAUUAGCUAGUUGGUGGGGUAAAGGCUUACCAAGGCGACGAUCCGUAGCUGGUCUGAGAGGACGACCAGCCACACUGGAACUGAGACACGGCCCAGACUCCUACGGGAGGCAGCAGUGGGGAAUUUUGGACAAUGGGGGCAACCCUGAUCCAGCCAUGCCGCGUGCGGGAAGAAGGUCUUCGGAUUGUAAACCGCUUUUGUUCGGGAAGAAGGCCUGUGAGCUAAUACCUCGGGGGGAUGACGGUACCGGAAGAAUAAGCACCGGCUAACUACGUG